rnacentral:misc_RNA from 1 species
AAGUCGUAACAAGGUUUCCGUAGGUGAACCUGCGGAAGGAUCAUUAGUGAAUAUUAGGGCGUCUACUUGUAGAGCCUGACCUCCACUUUUCAACUCUGUGCAUUUAUUUGGCGGAACGGGAAUGAAAGUUCCCGCUUCUGCGGCUUACUUUUAAACACUAGUAUAAGUAUGUAACGAAAUAUCGAAACAAAAAAAAACUUUCAACAACGGAUCUCUUGGCUCUC